CCUACGGGAGGCUGCAGUGAGGAAUAUUGGUCAAUGGACGCAAGUCUGAACCAGCCAUGCCGCGUGCAGGAUGACGGCUCUAUGAGUUGUAACCUGCUUUUGUACGAGGGUAAACCCCGAUACGUGUAUCGGGUUGAAAGUAUCGUACGAAUAAGGGCCGGCAAAUUCCGUGCCAGCAGCCGCGGUAAUACGGAAGGCCCGAGCGUUAUCCGGAUUCAUUGGGCUUAAAGGGAGCGUAGGCGGGCGUUCAAGUCAGCGGGAAAAUCGCGCGGCUCAACUGCGCCCCGCAGUUGAAACUGGACGCCUUGAGUACACGACAGGCAGGCGGAAUUCGUGGUGUAGCGGUGAAAUGCAUAGAUAUCAAGAGGAACCCCGAUUGCGAAGGCAGCCUGCCGG
rnacentral:rRNA from 1 species